UGCAGAUGUCAAAGCCAAAAUCUUGCAGCCUCCUGCUGGCACUCUCUGCCCAUUGGCACGGGGACUUUCCCCGCAGCAUUGCCAGGAGCAAGCUCCUCGUCUGUGCGCUGCGAAGUCGUGCUUCCCCUGCCUUCUUCACUGGAUCUCAGCUUCAAAUGGAAGGCAUAGGGAGAGUGAGCCCCGUUUGGUUGGUGCCCUGAAGCGAGCACUCACGACAUGG
rnacentral:RNase_MRP_RNA from 1 species